UUCUUUUUCCUCUAUCUGAUAAUUGCUCAUCGCUUCUGGGUAUCAUUUCCCAAAUUAUCCAUUUUCGGUUUCUAAUUUUCUAGCUUUUAUUUUAUUCGUUACUUCUGGUAAGUUUUCCCCUGUUUUUUGCCUUUCUUGCAGUGAUUUCUGCCGUUCACUUCGGAAUUCCUUUAAAAGUUUAUCUAUUUUUGCUUCAAUUUUAGUUUUCUUACUCUUCCGCAUAAUUUCUAGCUUGAUUUUCUAUAUGCAUGUCAGUAAGUCUACUCUAUCUGAUGUGCACAUGCAUGUUUGAGAUUGUACCUGGUGCAUAUAAGCUUAUAUUAUUUUGGCUUACUCAUCGUUGAUAUCUGUUCGUCUUUUUGAACUAAUUACUAACUGUAAAUCGAAAUGUCAGUGCAAAAAUCUAUUGUAUUAUGCUUUUUGUUGGAAGAAUGGGUCUGUGCUACAAUACCAAAGAUUUAAUUGGUGAUAAUAUCGGUUUAUUUGUAAACAUACUUUCAUUGUGUUCUCUUUCUGUAAAUCUUAAUAUAUCUUAUAGUUAAUAAUACUUUCCAUCUGAAUGUUUUUUAUUUUUUACUCUUAUUUUAUUUUAUUGUUUCGAUUAUUUUUCAAUUUUGACUCAAGACGAUGAGAUUUCAAACUGUGCAAACUGAUGAAUCCAAAGUGUUCGGCGAUAUGCCUGAAACAACACAAAAUUAUUUGGUAAGAAUUUCUUCUGUUUCUCUUUUGUAUUAUUGAGCAAAUUAGGACUACCUUCAACUAUACAAAGUUUUACAUUCCUCUGAAUUGGGGACAUUUUUCAUAAAAGUUAUACAAAUGUAGAAAUACUUAUAGAAGGCUAGAAGCAAUAGUAGCGUUUUGCAUUUUUCUUGUUAUUUCAGUUGGAUUUGUUGCUGUUUGGUAAUUGACCAUGGUAUUAAAGUUGAGAUGGUUAAUAAGCUGUCAUUGAUGAUUCUUUUUUUGUCUACCUAAUCUUUUCUUGGCCAAGUAUGGAUGGACCUGUAAUAAUGUAAAAAUAAAUUCUAUUUAAAGGACUUCUCUAUGCAGUAAAAUAUUAUAGAAUGAUAAAACUAAAUCGCUGGACUUCUAGAUUCAGGCGACGAUGAAUUUUUUUGAAGCCCUAGCAAUGAUGUUGAUGCUGGUGACAAACAGAUUGGAAAAAAUGCCGGUCAACUAUCAAUGUGUUGUAUUUAAACCUUUCAAUAGUGAGAUUUUGAAUGCAGUAUUUACCAUAACUCAGAAGGUAAGAAAAUUAUGUUGUAUUUAAGAUAUGCACAAUAUUAUUUCUUAAUUUUUCACUAUCUAUAGAUAUUUCAUUCCUGACUAUAUUAUUUUCUGCUUAUGCAUGUCUACUUCUGAAUAUUUUGUGUCAAUUUGGUAGUAAAAACUGGCACUGAAAGGAACUCAAUUAAAAUAAAGGCUAUAUGAACGAAAUCCUCAAAGAGUGUGAUUCAAUGAUAAGGGCCUUAUUGUUAACCGGAAAUCUGGGGAAUAAUCAAUCUUCUUUUACCAAAAUGAGACAUUGUUGCUUCUUUCAAGGAUUGAAGUUUAUGGAAAGAGAGCUGGAAAGCUCACUAGCUUUUAGUAGCUUUUUGACUGAGUUUGAAGCGAUUC